rnacentral:rRNA from 1 species
GACGAACGCUGGCGGCAGGCUUAACACAUGCAAGUCGAACGCCCCGCAAGGGGAGUGGCAGACGGGUGAGUAACGCGUGGGAACAUACCCUUUCCUGCGGAAUAGCUCUGGGAAACUGGAAUUAAUACCGCAUACGCCCUACGGGGGAAAGAUUUAUCGGGGAAGGAUUGGCCCGCGUUGGAAUAGCUAGUUGGUGGGGUAAAGGCCUACCAAGGCGACGAUCCAUAGCUGGUCUGAGAGGAUGAUCAGCCACAUUGGGACUGAGACACGGCCCAAACUCCUACGGGAGGCAGCAGUGGGGAAUAUUGGACAAUGGGCGCAAGCCUGAUCCGGCCAUGCCGCGUGAGUGAUGAAGGCCUUAGGGUUGUAAAGCUCUUUCACCGAUGAAGAUAAUGACGGUAGUCGGAGAAGAAGCCCCGGCUAACUUCGUGCCAGCCGCCGCGGUAAAAC